rnacentral:rRNA from 1 species
CGGGGGGAGCAAGCGUUGUUCGGAUUUACUGGGCGUAAAGGGCGCGUAGGCGGCCUCCGCAAGUCAGUAGUGAAAUCUCCGAGCUUAACUCGGAAAGGUCAACUGAUACUGCGGGGCUAGAGUGCGGAAGGGGCAACUGGAAUUCUUGGGGUAGCGGUGAAAUGCGUAGAUAUCAAGAGGAACACCUGCGGCGAAGGCGGGUUGCUGGGCCGACACUGACGCUGAGGCGCGAAAGCUAGGGGGAGCGAACGGGAUUAGAUACCCCGGUAGUCCUAGCCUUAAACGAUGAAUGCUUGGUGUCUGGGGUUAUAUAGUCCCCGGGUGCCGUCGCUAACGCUUUAAGCAUUCCGCCUGGGGAGUACGGUCGCAAGACUG